rnacentral:RNase_P_RNA from 1 species
GCCGGGGUCCAGGCAGCCGCGGACGGGGUUCCCGUUCGAGGAAAGUCCGGGCUCCACGAAACGAGGGUGGCGGGUAACGCCCGCCCGCCGCCGCCCCGCGCGGCGGUGAGGGACAGUGCCACAGAGAGCAGACCGCCGAUGGCUUCGGAGACACGUCCGGCGCACAGGCAAGGGUGAAAGGGUGCGGCAAGAGCGCACCGGGACGCUGGCAACAGGGUCCGCACGGCAAACCCCACCCGGAGCAAGGCCGAAUAGGAACGGCGCGUCCGCAUCCGUCCACCUGGACGAAGGCGGGCAGGGGAGUUUCGCCCCGAGGCCGUUCGGGUUGGCCGCUAGAGCGCGAGGAGCGAUCCCGCGCCCAGAGGAAUGGCUGCCCGUGCCGCUUUGCUAAGCGGCAUGACAGAACCCGGCUUACGCGGACCCCGGCACCA